AUUGAACGCUGGCGGCAUGCCUUACACAUGCAAGCCGAACGGCAGCACGGGUGCUUGCACCUGGUGGCGAGUGGCGAACGGGUGAGUAAUACAUCGGAACAUGUCCUGUAGUGGGGGAUAGCCCGGCGAAAGCCGGAUUAAUACCGCAUACGAUCUACGGAUGAAAGCGGGGGACCUUCGGGCCUCGCGCUAUAGGGUUGGCCGAUGGCUGAUUAGCUAGUUGGUGGGGUAAAGGCCUACCAAGGCGACGAUCAGUAGCUGGUCUGAGAGGACGACCAGCCACACUGGGACUGAGACACGGCCCAGACUCCUACGGGAGGCAGCAGUGGGGAAUUUUGGACAAUGGGCGAAAGCCUGAUCUAGCAAUGCCGCGUGUGUGAAGAAGGCCUUCGGGUUGUAAAGCACUUUUGUCCGGAAAGAAAUCCUUGGCCCUAAUACGGUCGGGGGAUGACGGUACCGGAAGAAUAAGCACCGGCUAACUACGUG
rnacentral:rRNA from 1 species